rnacentral:misc_RNA from 1 species
GAUGAAGAACGCAGCGAAAUGCGAUAAGUAGUGUGAAUUGCAGAAUUCAGUGAAUCAUCGAAUCUUUGAACGCACAUUGCGCCCUUUGGUAUUCCAAAGGGCAUGCCUGUUCGAGCGUCAUUUGUACCCUCAAGCUUUGCUUGGUGUUGGGCGUCUUGUCUCUAGCUUUGCUGGAGACUCGCCUUAAAGUAAUUGGCAGCCGGCCUACUGGUUUCGGAGCGCAGCACAAGUCGCACUCUCUAGCAGCAAAGGUCUAGCAUCCAUUAAGCCUUUUUUUCAACUUUUGACCUCGGAUCAGGUAGGGAUACCCGCUGAACUUAAGCAUAUCAAUAAGCGGAGGA